UACGGGGGGAGCAAGCGUUGUUCGGAUUUACUGGGCGUAAAGGGCGCGUAGGCGGCGUGACAAGUCACUUGUGAAAUCUCCGGGCUUAACUCGGAGCGGUCAAGUGAUACUGUCGUGCUAGAGUGCGGAAGGGGCUACUGGAAUUCUCGGUGUAGCGGUGAAAUGCGUAGAUAUCGAGAGGAACACCUGCGGCGAAGGCGGGUUGCUGGGCUGACACUGACGCUGAGGCGCGAAAGCCAGGGGAGCGAACGGG
rnacentral:rRNA from 1 species